rnacentral:rRNA from 1 species
GAUGAACGCUAGCGGCAGGCUUAAUACAUGCAAGUCGAGGGGUAGCAAGAUUGUAGCAAUACAAUUGUUGACGACCGGCAAACGGGUGCGGAACACGUACACAACCUUCCUACAAGUGGGGAAUAGCCCAGAGAAAUUUGGAUUAAUACCCCGUAACAUAGCGAUGUGGCAUCACAUUGCUAUUAUAGCUUCGGCGCUUGUUGAUGGGUGUGCGGCUGAUUAGAUCGUUGGCGGGGUAACGGCCCACCAAGUCUGCGAUCAGUAGCUGAUGUGAGAGCAUGAUCAGCCACACGGGCACUGAGACACGGGCCCGACUCCUACGGGAGGCAGCAGUAAGGAAUAUUGGACAAUGGACGCAAGUUUGAUCCAGCCUUGCCGCGUGAAGGAUUAAGGUCCUCUGGAUUGUAAACUUCUUUUAUAAAGGACGAAAAAAGGUCUUUCUAGAUCGUCUGACGGUACCUUAUGAAUAAGCACCGGCUAACUCCGUGCCAGCCGCCGCGGUAACAC